rnacentral:rRNA from 1 species
CGAUUCUGGCUCAGGAUGAACGCUAGCGGCAGGCUAACACAUGCAAGUCGAGGGGCAGCGCGGGUAGCAAUACCUGGCGGCGACCGGCGAAAGGGUGAGUAACGCGUGAGCAACAUGCCCGAUACUGGGGAUAGUCGAUGGAAACGUCGCGUAAUACCCCCGUAACACAUUGGUCCGCAUGAACCUAUGUUGAAAGAUUCAUUGGUAUCGGAUUGGCUCGCGUGCCAUUAGGUAGACGGCGGGGUAACGGCCCACCGUGCCGACGAUGGCGUAGGGGUUCUGAGAGGAACGGUCCCCCACAUUGGAACUGAGACACGGUCCAGACUCCUACGGGAGGCAGCAGUGAGGAAUAUUGGACAAUGGCCGGAAGGCUGAUCCAGCCAUGCCGCGUGGCGGGAAAAGGACCGGCCCUAGUGGGUUGUAAGCCGUCUUUUGCGGGGGAGCAAUAAGGUCCACGUGUGGACUGAUGAGAGUACCCUGCGAAUAAGCAUCGGCUAACUCCGUGCCAGCCGCUGC